GAGCCCAAUGCCACUCCAUCAGGAGUCUACCACCUCCAUUCCUGGUAACGAGGAUCAAAACCCAUCUCCAAUUUAUUUUCCAUCUUUGUAGGUCUGAAUUCCAGGUUUUUCUCCAGAUUAAGACUUCUUCUCCAAGCUGAGGAGCAGAAAAAGAAUAACUGUAAUUGUUUACAGAUCAUGGUGUUUGUGAUCAGAAGGUGAACCUACCAGAAUGGUACAAGCCUUUGACCCUUUGAUGCGAUGCUCCCUCUGUGGAGACAUCAUGAUGGAGAGGAAGAGAAAAGUUGGCAGUGAGAAAAGAAUCACCAGAAUGAAGGAAGGGUUUACCAGUUCCAAGCAUCAGUCUGGAAAAGAUGGAGAUCUCCAGGUGGCUGUGCUAGGAGACUAUGCUUGUGCUUUACAAGCUACAUGAUUUUAAGAGCAGUUUAAGAAAAGAUCAUUUGAGGCAAGGAACAACGCUGUAAUCUAUCUAGAACCUGUAACAUUCAAGGCAAAGAAGCAUUUUUUGUUGUUGUUGUUCUGGCUUUGGUGGGUAAAAAGACCCUUCCAGCUGAUUGAUUGAUUGAUUAAAAUAAUUGUGCACAAUAAAGAAUGGAGAAAGACAAUUAAAAA